ACCUGCAUGCGCUGCCUCACAGUGAGACCCUGGCUCAAAACACACGUACACAUACGGUCUGAGGACAUAGCUCAGUGGUGGAGGACCCUUUAAUAUGUAAAAUGUGCCUAGGUUCAAUCUGCAGUACCAUAAAAACAAAUAAGAAAAACCCACUGUGCGGGCUCUGGCCCUUAAAAUAUUUUCAGUUCAAGCUUAGUUUUUUGUUGAUGUUUUGAUAUGGGUGUGUGAUCAAAAGAGUUGAGUUGAGUCUUUUCUUCCUUUAUGUAGGGGCUGGGGAUUGAACUCAGGUCUCCAGGCUGUUAUCUCACCGGUUCCCUUCCCUGUUCUCUCUCUCUCUCUCUCUCUCUCUCUCUCUUUCUAAACUUGGUUGGGUUGUUUUGCUUUUCAUCAAACUCAUCAUGUCUGAGGUCAGAACUUGCAAGACAGUAGUAACACAGAUUUAAAAAGAUGGAAAUUCUCUCCCAGUGACUUUCUGUACAGGCAUUAGUCACCAGCUGUGUCAUCGGCAUGACAAGGCAAAAUUAUCCUAGUGGAUGCCUGUGGCUUAGACGCUGGGAGAAUCUUAGCAGCUCCUUGUACAGAAAUGUACAUGGGAGCUUCUGUUUGGCCCCUUCCCCAUCUGAUUGGAAGGUGAUCAUGGCUCCACCAAACCUCAGACUGUAACCUCUCCUCAGGCUGGAGAAUCCUGAGAGUUCAAUGUCUUCCAAUCCUCAAUGUGGCUGGAGAAUGAAUGCCUGAUACUGACUACUGAAGACCCUGCUCCUAUCUUUUAUACCCCUCUAGUGUGAUUCCAGGUGCUGAGAUCAUCUUUGUGUGAGCUAUUUCUCUUUAGGACUGGAUCAGUCUUGUGUAGAUCUGGUGGCCUUGGACUCAGAGAUCUGUCUACUUGUUAAUCCUGAGUCCUAGGAUUAAAGGUAUGUACCAUCACCUCCUAGCUUCUGGCUGUGGGGAUUAAAGGUGUGUAUCACCACUGUCUGAUCUCUCUAUAACUUGAGGCUGAUGUUGCUUUCUGAAUCCUCAGGUAAGUCUUAAAUCACAUAUAUCACCAAAAUUCCCCCUUUUUGUCUAAUACAAAAAGAAAACUACUAACAUAAGAAAAACUAAAUACAAUAAGUACAAUAAGUAUAUACAAUAUAUACAGGCAAUAAGUUUGUCAAUAAUGUCUAGUCCAUUUGCAUUUGACAAAUUCAGAGAAAAUACUUCAUUAUCUGUCCUAUCUUGGUGAGUC
rnacentral:lncRNA from 1 species